ensembl:lncRNA
GCUCCAUAUUUAGACCGGCGCGGUCCAGAUAUAGCGUGUGUAUUAACUGCAGCUCCAUUUGAAAGCAGGUGAUGGGGAUUUACCGCUAAUCAUAGAACCGGCUUUACUGACGAGAUGCGCAUGAUCAUAUCGGUCGAUAUAUUGUCCAGCCCUAACAGUGUGUAUAAAUAGCAAACAGCGGUUCACUGCCGGACAGAUGACCUUUGAUCAAGCUUCUGAUGUGAACUGACACUUAUUCUGCAUUAUAUAUGUACACUAAACAUUGUUUUUUGGUUUUUGUUUUUCUGUUAGAGUAAUAUUUUAAUGUUCAUGGCAAACUUCUAAUUCAUAUCACAAGCAUCAUUUUAUGAAUUUGUUACCAUUUAUUAGGCAAGAGAACAAAGGAGUUUAACAUUUAAAUGGGUUACACUUUAUUUCGAUUGUCCACUUCUACUAACUGUAAUUAACGACAUGCUAACUAACUGUCAUCAGAGCGUUUGCAGACUGUCAGGUUACACAGUAAAUUACAGUCAGUAGAUCAUCUGUUGACUGACCAUCAAAUUAAAAUUUUAGUUUUAAUGUUUAAUGUUUCAAUGAAAACAAAAACGAGUUUUCCUGUAAAUGGACCUCGCGCUCGACGCCUCUAUGACGCGCCCAGUGUGCGCGCGCGUGAUCUCACCGCGGGAGCGCGCCAGAAGACAGACGUGCGCGAGCUCAUGAGUUUAAUCUUAUAUUUUUGCCCCAGAAUGAACAAUACCAGCGAGAAUGAGCCCAACAGCCCGGAAGAAGAGGUCAGGACUCUGUUUGUCAGUGGUUUGCCGCUGGAGAGCUUUACCUGUUAUUCAGGCCUUUUCAGGUGCGUGGAGAAAUCCAUUGUGCGUUUGAUCUGAAUCCAUAAGAGACAAACAUUUAAAUGUGUUUUCCUUAAAUUAAUGAAAUGAAAUUACUGUCAACAUGAACUGUGUUUCAUUUCUGAUUCUCUUCAUUAGGGUUACAAAGGAUCCUUAAUCAAAUUUACCUCUAAGCAGGUGAGAAAUAUGAAUGAUUCCUCCAAGUAUAUGAAUCACAAGGAUUUAAUGAAUAUUAUACCUAUGUGACACAUUCAUAUUCUCAAUGGACCCUUUUUACUGUUCCAGGGAUGUCUAAAGUCUCAUAAAAUCAUCCUAAACUCGGUCUGAGACCGCAGUAAAGAUAGUUUGUGGUUUGAUAUUCAGAUUUCUUUUGGCUAUAAAUACGCAGUGCGCUGUCAUAGACAUGCAAAUAAUACCGAAUCUCAUUCUCUAUGAUUUGUGAAUUCAGGUGACGCUGUUCUUCGGGUAGAAAUCAGGGUUUUUUUCGUAGUGACUCUUAAUUGUAUAAUGUCUAUAGCUCCAAAAGUGGGACACUUAGAGGAAUGAAACCGGUGUCAUCUUCAGCAGCUUGAUCUGGGAAUGUUUUCACAGCAAAGCUCUUGUCUGUGAACCCCUUGGUAAGUCCACCAGUAAGAAAUGAGAAAGAAAGGCGUUCUUCAUGUUAAACGUCUAUUACCAAUAAACACGCAGACUGCUGGAAUACA